AAUAAUAAUAAAAAGACAAACCAGCCCGUCUUCAAAGUAGUGACGUCACUACUUUUUGAAGACGGGCUGGUUGAAGAAAACCUGCACCAUUGAAAAUAAGAUGAAAAAUAAAUUACUUUCGUUUGCUUUGAUGGGAAAACAAGUUUGAAAAAAUCUGAAACACGUGAAAAAUUCUCCCUUCCGUUGACGAGCAGAAACCACAUCACCCCUCUGACUCAAUGUUGUGAACACAAAGGGCUGUGAGGUCAAGACAAAUAGAAGUAAUUGACCGAGACUGAGUGAAGAACUGAUGCCCUUCCUCCUCCACCUGCCGCCUUCAAAGGACGCCCUGUUUGAGGAUGGGCGGCUGAAUAGGCUUUGAAGGCCUUGGUUGCUUCAUGUUUCGUGCACUCGGAACCAAUUGUAUCUGUUAGAUCUAAUCCCACAUUCAUGUCUGGGUCUAAAACACGAGCUCAGACUCUGCUGCUCAUCAAUAACAGCUCUGACAUGCUGGAUACGGAGGUCCCUCCUCCAUAGCUGUGGUUUCACCUGGAAGCUCUGAGCUCGGAGAAGCUGCUGUUGUUCUCAUGUGAAGGCUGAAGAGUGCAGUGGUUUGCUCUGUUAGUGCAGACUCAAGUAUCUCAUCAUGCUUUGAGACUCUCAGUGACUUCCAAAAAAUAACAUGUGCACAGACACAGCGACCUUUUUGAAUGCGGGCCGGACUGGAAAUGGAAACCAAUCCUCAGUUUAGUGUAUGCAGUGCCGAUACUGUACACAUGCUCUUCACACUUGGCUGCGGUGAGUAAAGUGCCGAACGACACACAAACAAGCGGAGUGAGAGGAUGACAUCCGUGCAUGCUAAGUGAUGAAGAGAUGAGUGUGUGUGUGCCUGUGAGGAUGACGUAACCUCCAGUGAAAUAAUACUGUGUAUGUUUGAGACUCGUGCUGGUCUCCUCUUCCCCUCACUUAUUUAUAACGUGCACACGAGCAGGAUGUAUCUGUAAUUGUCUGUUUUGGGGUUUUUAUUUUUUAAAUGUUAUUUUUUCUAUGCUUUUUUCAGUUUCUAUAUGACCUCUUUUAUUCAAUAGGAGGUUCGCUUCACUGGAUUUGCACUCGCGUCCGAUCACGUGACGUGCAGCUCACUUCAGGUCAGGAUCUUUCCUCCAUAAAGCCACUUUCUUCAGGUGCAGCAGCUUGUGUUUCUGGAUGAUCUGGGGACCGUCUCUAAGACGUAGACACAUUUCUGCUGAGCGGUCAGGUUACGGAGCAGGGUCUAAAGAGCUUGGAGAGAAAAUCAUCUGGACUUCUUCAGUUCCUGGGUCAAAUAGUGAAGAGUCCCAGAUUUGGACCCCGUUGAUCUUCUACUUAAUCACAAAGCCAAGGUGUGAAAACGGGUGUGUGUCCCAAUCAGCCAAGUUUUGGGUGAUGGCUUCUUUCACUUCUCUUUUAAACCAUCUGCCUCGGGCUCCUGGUCUUAGCCGACAGGAGGAGCACCUGGUGUGGUCUUCUGCUGCUGCAACCCAUCUGCUCCAAGGUUCCACCUGUUGUGGCCGUGGUUAUACCGAGUAGAUAUUUGAGCUUGUUGCCUUCCUGUCAACUCAGAGUAGUCUGUCAUUCUGACCUCUGACCUCUGGCAUCAACGGAGAACUGCUGCUCAUGCAGUGUCUCACUCUGUGAACUUCAGAGGUCGUGGUGCCUAAACAUCCCAGCAGAUCCCUUUGUUCCUCAUUCUGAUGCUCUGUUUGACCUUCAGCAAGGCUUCUUUGCCAUAUCCCCUUGCCUGAAUGCUGCCAUGUGAUUGGCUGUUUUGACGUUUGUGUUAAUAAGCAGCUGAAUGUAACAAAACGAGUGAGUUUUGAAGGCCCUGCUUAUUUCAUGCUUCGUGCACUCUGAACCAGUUUUAUCUCAUAAAUCUAAUUCCACAUUCAUGUCUGUGCCAAUACUGUACACAUGCUCUUCACACUUGGCUGCGACUAAAGGGUCGUGGGAGAAGGCUGUGCCUGGUUCGUGAUGUAGUUGCUCCAGGACUGCAACGUGACACAGAGGUUCUACAACCUCGCUGUUAAACAGGAAACCAGAAGAAACCAGUUAGCGACCAGUUGGCUUGAGCGCUCUUUGGCAAAGAGACUCGUCACAAAUGAGUUCGCGUCUCACCCCAACCAGUCACAGCAGAUGGCUGCCCCUCCCUAAGCUUGGAGAUGCCGGAGGUGAGCGCUUGCUCACAGGUGUCAUGUGACUGUUGGGGUUUCUGUUUCCUCUGUAUAACUGUAUGGUCUCGACCUUACAGUAUAAAGCAGCUUGAGGCAACUGUUGUUGUGAUUUUCUGCUGUACAAAUAAAGUUGAAUUGAAAAUGUCCUUCACGACAUCCAUCAUCGUCUGAGGUUUUCCGCUUUUCCUCCUGCCUGCAGCUCCAUCUUCAUCUUCCUUUCUCCAAGAUAUCCUCUCUCCCUCCUCGGCAGAUGUCCAAACCCUCUCAGCCUCUCCCCUCUAACUCUGAGUCCCUCUGAUGGACUCGCAUCUAAUCUUCGCCAUCCUGCUCACUCCCAGAGAACAUCUAAACAUCUUCAGCUGUCUUUUUGUUAUUGCCAUCGUCUCCAAACCAUACACCAUAGCAUGCCUUCACUUCACAAAUGUGCUCUGACCCCCACUGCUGUCUGUGAUCCACAGUGCUCUGCGCUUCUCCAUCAACAUGAUGCUCGCUGACCACUUGUCUGUUGUUCCUGCAGCUUUCUCAUGUAAUAAAGACGUCAUUACAAAGCGGCACAAACGGGCUUCAUUCGUUAUAAACAUGUUGCAUAUCUCAAAAUGAAACCGCCGCUAUUCUCAGCUAUGCCUUCAUGCUACCUGUACGCGUUUUAGUGGCUGCUAACGCGUCACUGCGUGCUGUCUGAUGACGAUGAUUCGUCGUCUGUCUGAUGAAGACUUCGUGUGUCGGUGAGUCGCUGCGCGGCACAGACACUGCCGUCACUGACCU